rnacentral:misc_RNA from 1 species
GGGGAAUUCACCAAUGACUCGGGCAGGUAGCCACUGAACAUAUUUGUGUUGGCUGAGAAGUGCUCAAGUUUUCCAAGCUUGCCAAAAAUAUUAGGAAGAUUUCCAGAAAACCUGUUGGAGGAGAUGUCCAACUCAACAAGGUUAGAAAGGUUACCAAGUUCGGCAUUCAGUUGUCCAGAAAAUAUAUUAUCUUCAAGGUGCAGUACAUGAAGAUUUUGCAGCUGCAAGAGACUCUCAGGAAAAUUUCCUGACAGACUAUUGCUAUUAAGGAAGAGAUG